rnacentral:rRNA from 1 species
AGUGAACGCUGGCGGUAGGCCUAACACAUGCAAGUCGAACGGCAGCACAGUAAGAGCUUGCUCUUACGGGUGGCGAGUGGCGGACGGGUGAGGAAUACAUCGGAAUCUACUUUUUCGUGGGGGAUAACGUAGGGAAACUUACGCUAAUACCGCAUACGACCUACGGGUGAAAGCAGGGGAUCUUCGGACCUUGCGCGAUUGAAUGAGCCGAUGUCGGAUUAGCUAGUUGGCGGGGUAAAGGCCCACCAAGGCGACGAUCCGUAGCUGGUCUGAGAGGAUGAUCAGCCACACUGGAACUGAGACACGGUCCAGACUCCGACGGGAGGCAGCAGUGGGGAAUAUUGGACAAUGGGCGCAAGCCUGAUCCAGCCAUACCGCGUGGGUGAAGAAGGCCUUCGGGUUGUAAAGCCCUUUUGUUGGGAAAGAAAAGCAGCAGGUUAAUACCCCGCUGUUCUGACGGUACCCAAAGAAUAAGCACCGGUUAACUUCGUG